GAGUACUGAUUGCCUUUAAAUGGGAUCCAACCUUAUCUACCCUUGUCUUAUUUACCAAACAAAAGAGAGACUUCUUGAUUCUGACAUACGAGGAAGAAAUGACUAUGCAAAAAAGUUAUAAGCAAGCCAGAUGCUGAACAGCAUAUUUCAAUUUGCAAGACUAUACGCUUGAUGACAGAGAGAAAUGACAGGACCUGUUGUUGAUCCUGCUCUUUGAACCAUUCGUGAUUUACUAGAUGAUGAAGAAGUCAAGUUCUUAUCUGGAGUCAAUAGCCAAGUUAAAGAUGUGCAAGCAGAGCUCAAGCAAAUGCAGUGUUUCCAAGAGGACGAUGAUAGGAUAAAAUAUGCAAAGCGUCCAAAAUUUCGUUAAAGAAAUCAAGAAGCUUUCUAAUCGGAUUGAGGAUGUUGUGGAAACAUAUGCAGCUGAGGUUAUACUGAAAAGAAGAAAAAUGGGAAUAGAGGACUAUCUCAAUCGAGUCGCUAAAAAUGGUUGAGAAAAACUUGUGCUCAUGGAGUGGAGGAACGUUUUGUCGGGAUGGAAGAGGAGAUAAGUGCGUUGGCACCAAUGUUGCUUGAUGAUGAUAGGAAAUACAGAGUUGUUUCAAUUUGUGGAAUGGGCGGAUUGGGUGCAUGAUUCUCGGUCGCGGGAACUUGUAAACUUGGCGUUCUUCAGUAGCAAGUUGUAACUUAUAUGGCAAAUAGUAUAAAUUCACCCUUCAUUGAGUGGUGAUGAUUGAUGGCCUGGUAACAAGCUUCAUCCCUCUUUAUGAACCAUAAUAUAAGAACUGCAACAUAGGUAUAUUCCUCUUUUCUUCUUUGCACCAGGAAAUAACGAUAAUCUCGUACAUUACCCCAUUCUAACCUGAAUUAUUCUCAACUCCAAAGCUACCUGCCUCCCUCAUUGAUUUUUCAUGUUUCUUCUGAAGAUCAUCUCCAAAGUUCAACCGUGAACCAUAAUUGAGAUGCUAGACUGAGCAUUGGAAUUCCAAGAACUAGGGGGAUUUUUCUAACCAGUGGGUAAUGACAGUGACUCUGAACGAGUGCCUAAUGACAAUGCCUCAUUUUGAGCUGGAUGAAGCUGAAUCAAUCAAGGAGCAACUUCAAAUUAAGGGAAGAGGGGUGGGCUCAUGUAGACUGUAGAGUUGCAGGCAGAGAAUCGCUCUAUAAUCAGGAAGCUCAUCUCUCAGAAUAGUGAUAGCUGUGCACUAUUAACUACUAUCCUUGAAGAUAUUUUAGGCCUCAGUUCUCUGUUUCUUGUAUGGUCAAAAAAUUAUGGGUACCUUGUAGAAUAACAUUAGAUUGUAUAGAAUAAGUAGUGUGCAUAACUAAAAAAUCUUGAUUAUCACAUAUCUUGAUUGCUCAGAGGUUAAUUAUGCUCCAAAAUUUACAUAUUCAAAGCUAAACAAUGCGGCAGUACCAUACA